rnacentral:lncRNA from 1 species
UAAACUUCUCUAAGAAGCCGGAUGAAACACGUAAGGAGUAACUCCCUGGUUAAAAGAUAAUUGGAUGGUUCAUAAAUCCGUCACCACGUUUAAAUCAUCAUUUACCUUACAUAGUACAUAGGGGCUCUCUCUCCGAAUCCCGCGGGGUUUUAUGCCUAUGGAAAUCCCACAAUUAAUUAUUUCAUAAUAUAAGCUUUAUUCAAUUACAUAUAAUUCAUUAAAUUAAAGUUGAACGCAUAUUAAAUAUAGAGUUCCAAUGCU